GACGAACCGUACAAACGUUAUUCGGAAUCACUGGGCUUAAAGGGUGCGUAGGCUGUGCGGAAAGUUGGGUGUGAAAUACCUCAGCUCAACUGGGGAACUGCGCCCAAAACUACCGUGCUGGAGGGAGACAGAGGUGAGCGGAACUUAGGGUGGAGCGGUGAAAUGCGUUGAUAUCCUAAGGAACACCGGUGGCGAAGGCGGCUCACUGGGUCUCUUCUGACGCUGAGGCACGAAAGCUAGGGUAGCGAACGGG
rnacentral:rRNA from 1 species